GAGUUCGAUCCUGGCUAAGGAUGAACGCUGGCAGCAUGCUUAACACAUGCAAGUCGAACAGGAAGUGGUGUUUCCAGUGGCGAACGGGUGAGUAACACGUAAGAACCUGCCCUUGGGAGGGGAACAACAACUGGAAACGGUUGCUAAUACCCUGUAGGUUGAGGAGCAAAAGAAGAAAUCCGCCCAAGGAGGGGCUCACGUCUGAUUAGCUAGUUGGUGAGGUAAUAGCUUACCAAGGCGAUGAUCAGUAGCUGGUCUUUGAAGAUGAUCAGCCACACUGGGACCGAGACACGACCCAGACUCCUACGGGGGGCAGCAGCGGGGAAUUUUCUGCAAUGGGUGAAAGCCUGACGGAGCAAUGCCGCGUGGAGGUGGAAGGUGAAGGAAAUAUGCCCUAGAGUCAAUAAUAAAGUUAUUAUUUAUUUCCUUAUAUCAUGAUAAAAGUUUAUUAUUCAUGCUAGAAUUGUAUUAACC
rnacentral:ncRNA from 1 species